rnacentral:rRNA from 1 species
GACGAACGCUGGCGGCGUGCUUAACACAUGCAAGUCGAACGAUGAAGCCGCUUCGGUGGUGGAUUAGUGGCGAACGGGUGAGUAACACGUGGGCAAUCUGCCCUGCAUUCUGGGACAAGCCCUGGAAACGGGGUCUAAUACCGGAUAUGACACGAGGGGGCAUCAUCACGUGGGGAAAGCUCCGGCGGUGCAGGAUGAGCCCGCGGCAUAUCAGCUUGUUGGGGGGGUAAUGGCCUACCAAGGCGACGACGGGUAGCCGGCCUGAGAGGGCGACCGGCCACACUGGGACUGAGACACGGCCCAGACUCCUACGGGGGGCAGCAGUGGGGAAUAUUGCACAAUGGGCGCAAGCCUGAUGCAGCGACGCCGCGUGAGGGAUGACGGCCUUCGGGUUGUAAACCUCUUUCAGCAGGGAAGAAGCGCAAGUGACGGUACCUGCAGAAGAAGCACCGGCUAACUACGUGCCAGCAGCCGCCGUAA